CGGCGGACGGGUGAGUAAUGCCUAGGAAUCUGCCUGGUAGUGGGGGACAACGUUUCGAAAGGAACGCUAAUACCGCAUACGUCCUACGGGAGAAAGCAGGGACCUUCGGGCCUUGCGCUAUCAGAUGAGCCUAGGUCGGAUUAGCUAGUUGGUGAGGUAAUGGCUCACCAAGGCGACGAUCCGUAACUGGUCUGAGAGGAUGAUCAGUCACACUGGAACUGAGACACGGUCCAGACUCCUACGGGAGCAGCAGCG
rnacentral:rRNA from 1 species